rnacentral:rRNA from 1 species
GAUGAACGCUGGCGGCGUGCCUAAUACAUGCAAGUCGAGCGAACGGACGAGAAGCUUGCUUCUCUGAUGUUAGCGGCGGACGGGUGAGUAACACGUGGAUAACCUACCUAUAAGACUGGGAUAACUUCGGGAAACCGGAGCUAAUACCGGAUAAUAUUUUGAACCGCAUGGUUCAAAAGUGAAAGACGGUCUUGCUGCCACUUAUAGAUGGAUCCGCGCUGCAUUAGCUAGUUGGUAAGGUAACGGCUUACCAAGGCAACGAUGCAUAGCCGACCUGAGAGGGGGAUAGGCCACCCGGGAACUGAGACACGGUCCAGACGCCUACGGGAGGCAGCAGUAGGGAAUCUUCCGCAAUGGGCGAAAGCCUGACGGAGCAACGCCGCGUGAGUGAUGAAGGUCUUCGGAUCGUAAAACUCUGUUAUUAGGGAAGAACAUAUGUGUAAGUAACUGUGCACAUCUUGACGGUACCUAAUCAGAAAGCCACGGCUAACUACGUG